rnacentral:tRNA from 1 species
GCGAGGGUGUGGCGCGCGCGCACCCGGCUGAAGGCCGGGUCGUCGUUGUGCGGGUCGUGCCAUGGUUCGAGGCCGAGCGCUUCGCA